rnacentral:rRNA from 1 species
AUUGAACGCUGGCGGCAGGCUUAACACAUGCAAGUCGAGCGGGGUGAUGGUGCUUGCACUAUCACUUAGCGGCGGACGGGUGAGUAAUGCUUAGGAAUCUGCCUAUUAGUGGGGGACAACAUCUCGAAAGGGAUGCUAAUACCGCAUACGUCCUACGGGAGAAAGCAGGGGAUCACUUGUGACCUUGUGCUAAUAGAUGAGCCUAAGUCGGAUUAGCUAGUUGGUGGGGUAAAGGCCUACCAAGGCGACGAUCUGUAGCGGGUCUGAGAGGAUGAGCCGUCCCACUGGGACAUGGACACGGCCCAGACUGCUACGGGAGGCAGCAGUGGGGAAUAUUGGACAAUGGCGAGAACCCUGAUCCAGCCAUGCAGCGUGUGUGAAGAAGGCCUUAUGGUUGUAAAGCACUUUAAGCGAGGAGGAGGCUCUUUUGGUUAAUACCCAAGAUGAGUGGACGUUACUCGCAGAAUAAGCACCGGCUAACUCUGUGCCAGCAGCCGCAGUAA